AACAAGGUAGUUAUUAUAGGUAGAAUAAAAAUUUUGCGUAUUUUAGGUGGGUGAGGUCACCCCCUUGUUA
rnacentral:tRNA from 1 species